rnacentral:rRNA from 1 species
AGAGAGAGACAUGCGCGCAUAUCAAUAAGCGGAGGAAAAGAAACUAACAUAGGAUUCCCUUAGUAACGGCGAGUGAAGCGGGAAGAGCUCAAAUUUGAAAUCUUCAAGGUUCUACCUUGACGAAUUGUAGUUUAAAGAAGUGUUUUCGGUUAGAGGAGUUUAGUAAAAGUUCUUUGGAAUAGGACAUCAUAGAGGGUGAGAAUCCCGUAUUUGACCAUUAUCUUUCAGCUGUGUGAUACACUUUCAAAGAGUCGGAUUGUUUGGGAAUGCAGUCCAAAAUGGGUGGUAAAUUUCAUCUAAAGCUAAAUACUGGCGAGAGACCGAUAGCGAACAAGUACCGUGAGGGAAAGAUGAAAAGAACUUUGAAAAGAGAGUUAAACAGUACGUGAAAUUGUCAAAAGGGAAGCGUUUGACACCAGUGUUGUUUUCUCGAAAAUCAAUUAAAAAAGGCUGGAUUUUGUGUUGUAUUGACCUUUAAUCAAGCUUUCUUCACUCUUUUCUUGUCUUUUUUAAUGCACUUUUCGUUUAACAAGUCAACAUCAGUUUCUUUUGUUGUAAAAGGGUCAUUGGAAGGUGGCUUUCUUUUCGGAGAAAGUGUUUAUAGCCUUUGGCCUCUGCAAUCGGAGAGAUUGAGGUCUGCAGCGUAGAAUCCUUCGGGGUUAGAUACAUUUGUGCUAAGUUAUAGCCUUUCAUAGACAACUUGUUGACUAUGAUCAGUCAUGUAGCUUACUCGCUUAUGCUAUUUUACCUACGCUUAGGAUGUUGACAGCAGUAUAGACUGU